GAAAUCUGGGUUUUUGAAUCUCUUGAUAUGUGUGAUAGGAUGCAACGGAGAUUUGUGACAACGAUGUGAAAUGUGAAAAUAGCUCACUAACAUGUAUGGUGCUGGGUGAAGUGACCAGCAUGUGUUCAUCUUUAUCUUUUGCCUUGUUGUCACCAUUUGUUGUAUACAUGAGAUUAUUAUUUUGUGAUGUAUGUCUUUAUAUACUAUGUUACAUAAGCCCAGGGGUGCUUAUAGUUAAUAACAUGAAUUAGUGGAAGGACCAUUUUGUAAAAAAUACAGCAUUGAGGGACGAGAAGUGGCACUAAGCCAUGGAGCUGUAGGAGGGCGCCCCAGCUGUACCAAGCGUGCGGCGAACAUGAAGCUGCCCACUUAUCUGGCAAUUAGCUGGCCAGCGGGCUUUAAUUACACACCACACAGCCGCCACCCCUUCCUGUGCUUACUUGUAGCUUGUGCCAGCCUCCCUGUCAUGCUGCGGGGCGAGCUUAUGCUGUUGUUGGCGGGUAAGGUAGGUGGGCAACACGCGGCCGACAAGCGAGUGAUAACAGGGGAGAUGUGGGGUCAUCGAGGUCAUUGAUGUGAUCAACAUUCAUGCGGUGUGAUGACAUGCGAUGUUCGCCUCACGGAUGUGUGCAUCGCCAUUGUGUGAUUUCUUUUUCUUCACCUGCACUCUCGACCUCUGGCAGAUCACACGUGACCGGCGGUACAGCCAGCCCCUGUGACAAGUCACGCCAGUCAGACAACAUGGUCCUGUGACACGAGACUGUGACAACUCUUGUAAUACGUCAUGCGACACGUCACAGUGACAUGCUACAUAAGAUGUGAUCUGUGGCACACUUUGACACAUUAAACAGGUUGCUGUGUGAGACGUGUUGGAGGCAUCACUACACUGUGUUGCGUUGUACACAUUCCAUGAGAACAAAUAUUGCAAGUUUCAUUCUGUAACGGCUCACAGCUUCUUGAGGUCACGUGGUGUUGGCCUUGUGCCACUGGCACCAAGCACACAGGACAGACGGCAGCCACAUCAGUGAAAUGACCGGCACACGACAAGACCCACAGUCCACCCGAGCAACACAAGACCACCGUGUGACACACGCAACCACUGCCAUCCAGCCAAGGAACAAGUGUUCCACAUUGAAAGUGUGAUGAGUUUUGUACUUCAUGGAGCCCGCAAUGAUUGCCCCUGUGCUGUGCUCUCUUCUGCUGGCCGUGCAGUCGGCGCCACUGCACCAUCGGACGGUGUUGCCGCCUGCACCAGACCUUCACCUGCCAAUGUCGUCGUCCGGUGGUGAGACUCGGCUCCAGGCAACGAGGCGGGGUGGCGACCCAAACCGCCCGACGCAGCAGGAGGACAGGAGGAACAGGGAGGCUGGUGCUGUAGCGAAGAUGGCGUGUGGCCAUCAUGGCACAGCUUGGACUUGAGGUUGGAAGAAGAGCGCUUACAUUCUUCUUAUGAUGGUCAUAAAGUACACGAGAUUGACCACAGAUCGCCUGAGACUGUCCUGGGAUCAUCUACCAUUAACGCUCGUGGAGGACUUUCUUCUACUGACUCCAGUGAGGACAGGCGGUCCCAGGAUGGAAAUAUUAUUUCCGACGUUAAAAGGUCCGGUAAGCUCGCAGGGCCUGGGACACGGAGGUGCACGACCUGUCUUCCUCCAUCAACCUGACGACGAUCUGGUGGCUAGACGCCACGAUAGCGAACCUCCCGACAGGCCCAGUAUUAGCUCCAUCCGGGACCUGCUGCCGACUUACCAUCCUCGGGACCGGGCCACAGCGUCCUCUUCUCAGCCAGGUGUGUCCACCUCACGCCAGAUACCCACUUCUGUGAUUAGACACAGCUCCACUCACCUGUUUCCGCAGCAGAUGUUCCAACUGAGCCCAUGACCCCUGUUCCCAGCCAUUUGAUGUUUGCUAGAAGCCCUUGGUCUACUCACACUGCUCCACCGUUGGUGACCACGCCCUCCUGUCAGCUGCACAGCGUGUCUUCGGCCACGAGAACCUAGUGACAAGCCCGUCUCCCGGCCCCCAUUCCGCUAUUGUGCCUGUACCAGCCAGUCAUGUCAAAACAUUGUCCACACCAUCCACACCAUCCACACUACCGACUAUUGCAGCAUCAGCAACAUCCAGCACUACGUCUGACACCACAGAUCCUGUUCUCACCAGGGUCUCACAGCAUCCUGCACUUCCUCGUGACAUCACUACUACCACCACCACCACCACCACCAGCACGAACGCUCUCAAUGACGUCAGUGGGAUGGACCACUCCCCAGGGUGGGAGGGUGAGACACCGACACCACCCUACUUUGUCUCUAGUGAAAGUGAGGCGCUACAUUCAGCCAUCUUAGGUCCUCGUGACCAUACAAACACUUUGUCUUCACCUGCUCUAACGCUUUGGGAGACAACAGCCUGGUGUCAAAAGCAAGGGUCACGCGUUCAGCAGAGUUAUCUCCCGAGGAAAGCGUGAUGUCACCAGCUUUGACAACAGUAACAUCGAUAACACCAUCACCAUCUGCCGCGGCGUCAUCUGCUGGUGUUACCAUGUCCUUUCCUUCUCCCAGCAGCUCGCGACAACCUCUGUCAGAGACCAGCGAUGUCACGGUUGUCACGGACGCACCCGUGAAAGACGACAUCAAGACUGCCGCAACAUCAGCAAGCAGCCCUCCGCCGAGCGUUGAGGCUGAACAUCACGACGUAGUGCCGGCGACAGAGACUGUCGUGCUGCUACCCACUGAGUCGCACAGCAUCGUGCUGCAGGCCAACACCUCAGCCCCCCAGCCCCCCCACUCUGGCACAGGA